CUAAAAUAGUAAAUAAAUAUUUAUUGAAACUUAAAUGAUUUGGCGGUAUUUUAGUUCAUUUAGAGGAAUCUGUUUAGUAAUUGAUAAUCCACGAAUAAAUUUACUUAAUUUAUAAUUUUAUAUAUCGUUGUUAAAAAAAUAUUUUUUAAUAAAAUUAAUAUUUAAAAAUUAAUAAAAUAAAUUAAAUCAGAUCAAGAUGUAGAUUAUAAUUAAGAAUAUAAUGGAUUACAAUAAAAUUAUUUAAACUAAUUUUAAUUUGUAAAAUUUAAUUGAAGGUGGAUUUAAAUGUAAUUUUAUUUAAUUUAAGU
rnacentral:rRNA from 1 species